rnacentral:lncRNA from 1 species
UUUCCAUCGGACUGAUUUUCUGGCGUUAGUCAUUUGAAGAGAUCUGGGAUGUUUGUUAUCAUUCUGUUAGCUAUUUUCUCUAACAAAUGUGUAAGUCAUCAUUCUACUUACCUAUAAUAAUAAUAAUUAAAGUUGAGUGGAUGUGAGCUUUUCUUACUGAAUUUAGUGUCUCUGUUAAAUACAUUCUUGCAGCCUAUACUUUCAAGUCUUUUAAGAGGCUGAGAAAUUAGUUGACUGAAGUAAAAUAAUGAAGCAGCUUACUGAUGAUCCAGGUUAUUAAAAAUUAAAACAUUGAAGAUAAGCGGAAUCACUUAUCAUCACUCUGUUUUCAUAAAUAGCAUCUUAUACCUCCACCACCACUUUUAAAGAAGGCAGCCAUUGAAUAGUAGACAAUAAAGGACAAUUGAUGAGCAGGGCUUUGACCAUUCCAUUGUUGAAUUUUCUUAUGAUUAAAAUGUGAGGG